UACGUAGGCAGCAAGCGUUGUUCGGAAUUACUGGGCGUAAAGAGUGUGUAGGCGGUGUUCUAAGUCUGUUGUGAAAUCUCCCGGCUUAACUGGGAGGGUGCGGCGGAGACUGGAAUGCUAGAGUGUGGGAGAGGUGAGCGGAAUUCCUGGUGUAGCGGUGAAAUGCGUAGAUAUCAGGAGGAACACCUGUGGUGUAGACAGCUUACUGGACCACGACUGACGCUGAGACACGAAAGCGUGGGUAGCAAACAGG
rnacentral:rRNA from 1 species